GAUGAAGAACGCAGCGAAAUGCGAUAAGUAAUGUGAAUUGCAGAAUUCAGUGAAUCAUCGAAUCUUUGAACGCACCUUGCGCUCCUUGGUAUUCCGAGGAGCAUGCCUGUUUGUGUGUCAUGAAAUUCUCAACCUUUCUGGCUUUUGCUAGUCAGGCUUGGAUUAUGGGAGCUGCUGGCUUUUGAAGUCGGCUCUUCUAAAAUGUAUUAGCAAGAUCAUUGCUGCUCAUCAUUGGUAUGAUAAUUAUCUAUAUCAUUGAGAGUCAGUUUCCUUUAUUGGAAGAUUUUGCUCCUAACGGUCUUUAGCAAGACAACAUUUGACGAUUUUGACCUCAAAUCAGGUAGGACUACCCGCUGAACUUAAGCAUAUCAAUAAGCGGAGGA
rnacentral:misc_RNA from 1 species